UGAUAUUUGUAAGUUUUCUUUCCAUUUAAAGUACAUUAAAUACAUAUGUAAGGAUUAUUUAUAACCAAAAAGCUUUACAAAUUUAAAAUUGCUGGAAAAUAUUACAUCUUCAUGUAAGGCCCCCCUUCAUUGGAAAACCUCCAUUUUUAGCCACAGGCUCAUAUAAAUUUGACUUUUUAAUAAUUAUGAUAAGUCUGAUAAAUCAAAUGAGUACUCUAUUGCUUUUAAUACAUAAUAUAUUAUAUAUUAAGGCAUUUCAAAAGUAUUUUUUUGCAAUAUUUAAAUUUUUUAAGCCCCAAAUGUUGAUAGUUGAAAAUUUUCAAUUUUAACAUCUAAAUUUAACACUCAAAGUUGAAUAUAGAAUUAGUCAUAUUGUCUAUAAUAUAUAUCCUAUUGCCAUGAAACUUUGUAAGCAGUCUUAUAAUUUAAUAAGCUUUGGUCAUACCAAGUUUCAUUAAGAUUGGUCAACUUUUUCUACCCUAUUAGGUCCGGGUACACAGUUAUCGUCCUUUGAUUUUCGUUGUCCACGAAUAUAGUCCCUAGUGUGGACAGUGUGUUACUUGUCGAUUUUUUUUAUACCCCUUCCGAAUUUAUUUCUCCAUGUUUUAUGACUCAAAUAGUAAGUAGGGGG